CGCGUAGGCGGCUUGCCAAGUCAGGGGUGAAAUCUUUCGGCUCAACCGGAAAAGUGCUUCUGAUACUGGCAGGCUGGAGGGAGGUAGGGGCAGAUGGAACUUCCGGUGGAGCGGUGAAAUGCGUAGAUAUCGGAAGGAACGCCGGUGGCGAAAGCGAUCUGCUGGACCUUUUCUGACGCUGAGGCGCGAAAGCCAGGGGAGCAAACGGGAUUAGAUACCCCGGUAGUCCUGGCCCUAAACGAUGGGUACUAGGUAGUGGACUUGACAUGGGUUCACUGCCGAAGCUAAAGUGUUAAGUACCCCGCCUGGGGAGUAUGGUCGCAAGGCUGAA
rnacentral:rRNA from 1 species